rnacentral:rRNA from 1 species
UGCCUACGGGAGGCAGCAGUGGGGGAUAUUGCACAAUGGGGGAAACCCUGAUGCAGCGACGCCGCGUGAGUGAAGAAGCAUUUCGGUGUGUAAAGCUCUAUCAGCAGGGAAGAAGAAAUGACGGUACCUGACUAAGAAGCCCCGGCUAACUACGUGCCAGCAGCCGCGGUAAUACGUAGGGGGCAAGCGUUAUCCGGAUUUACUGGGUGUAAAGGGAGCGUAGACGGCAAUGCAAGUCCGAUGUGAAAACCCAGGGCUCAACCGUGGGAGUGCAUUGGAAACUGAAUGGCUGGAGUGCAGGAGAG